rnacentral:rRNA from 1 species
UACAGGGGGUGCAAACGUUGCUCGGAAUUAUUGGGCGUAAAGCGCGCGUAGGCGGCUACUUAAGUCGGAUGUGAAAGCCCUUGGCUCAACUGAGGAAGUGCACCCGAAACUGAGUGGCUAGAGUACGAAAGAGGGUCGCGGAAUUCCCGGUGUAGAGGUGAAAUUCGUAGAUAUCGAGAGGAACACCGGUGGCGAAGGCGGCCUUCUGGACAGUGACUGACGCUGAGACGCGAAAGCGUGGGGAGCAAACAGG